UGCCAGACUCCUACGGGAGGCAGCAGUGGGGAAUAUUGGGCAAUGGACGCAAGUCUGACCCAGCAACGCCGCGUGAAGGAAGAAGGCUUUCGGGUUGUAAACUUCUUUUAAGGGGGGAGAGCAGAAGACGGUACCCCUUGAAUAAGCCACGGCUAACUACGUGCCAGCAGCCGCGGUAAUACGUAGGUGGCAAGCGUUGUCCGGAUUUACUGGGUGUAAAGGGCGUGCAGCCGGGAAGACAAGUCAGAUGUGAAAUCCCGCGGCUCAACCGCGGAACUGCAUUUGAAACUGUUUUUCUUGAGUAUCGGAGAGGUAACCGGAAUUCCUAGUGUAGCGGUGAAAUGCGUAGAUAUUAGGAGGAACACCGGCGGCGAAGGCGGCCUGCUGGACCGCGACUGACGUUGAGGCUCGAAAGCGUGGGGAGCGAACAGGAUUAGAUACCCCUGUA
rnacentral:rRNA from 1 species